CAGCUAGAAUUGCUGCUGGUAUAACUGGUUUCCCUUGCUCUACAGGAUCGCUUCGAUCUUGAAUAUAGUCUUUGAAAGACAUCGUAGGUUUGCUCAUACACAAGGACUGGCUACAGUCAUCUUCAAAACUCUCAUAGGAUGGCACACGCUGUAAAUCCACUAGCGACGACUGGCUGUUCCAGGACUGCAGCAUUGAAUCUGAGCUUUCAUAGCUUUCUGCACCACUUUCACUGGAUUCGUGUUCUCUAAGUUUGCCAGAAUUAUCUAUCAGCAAGUUCAGAUUACUUCUUGUGAAAUCUUGAUUUACAGUACAGUAGUUCACACUAACUGCAUCUACUUGGGUUUUAGGGAACAAUGAAAAGUCUUGUUCUGGACUAAGGAGAUUUGGUCCUGUAGAAGUCUGGCAGAUAUCACUCAGGAGAUUGGGCUUGGGAUAACUGAGGGCUUUAGGGUACCCAGGCAUCUGUAUACCAUAGGGAGUCUGAUCCACAUUAACAGUUAAGGAGUUAUUAUUGACCCAGUGAGGAACUGAGGUGAGAUGAGAGCUCUCCACAUAUUGAUCCUGUGUUUUUUCUUGGCUGUCUUUUAUCAUCUGCUCCAGGUGUUCCCACAGAAUGUCACCCACAUAGUCAGGUGCAAGUUCCAGGAAGCGUUCCUUGCCCAGGUUGCAGAGGUCUUGGCCACUCAUAAGAAACUGAUGGAUGUUCACAUUUGCC
rnacentral:lncRNA from 1 species